UACGGAGGAUCCAAGCGUUAUCCGGAAUCAUUGGGUUUAAAGGGUCCGUAGGCGGUUUUGUAAGUCAGUGGUGAAAGCCCAUCGCUCAACGGUGGAACGGCCAUUGAUACUGCAAGACUUGAAUUACUAGGAAGUAACUAGAAUAUGUAGUGUAGCGGUGAAAUGCUUAGAUAUUACAUGGAAUACCAAUUGCGAAGGCAGGUUACUACUAGUGGAUUGACGCUGAUGGACAAAAGCGUGGGGAGCGAACAGG
rnacentral:rRNA from 1 species